rnacentral:rRNA from 1 species
AGGGCACCACCAGGAGUGGAGCCUGCGGCUUAAUUUGACUCAACACGGGAAAACUCACCCGGCCCGGACACCGUAAGGAUUGACAGACUGAGAGCUCUUUCUUAAUUCGGUGGGUGGUGGUGCAUGGCCGUUCUUAGUUGGUGGAGCGAUUUGUCUGGUUAAUUCCGAUAACGAACGAGACUCUGGCCUAUUAAAUAGUCGGUAUAUCCAGAAAAGUUUACCGUACUUCUUAGAGGGACAAACGGCGUCUAGCCGCGAGAAAUAGAGCGAUAACAGGUCUGUGAUGCCCUUAGAUGUCCGGGGCUGCACGCGCGCUACACUGAAAGAAUCAGUAUGCUCUUUAACCUAGUCCGGAAGGAUUGGGUAACCCGAGCAAAUUCUUUCGUGCUUGGGAUAGGGAAUUGCAAUUAUUUCCCUUAAACGAGGAAUUCCCAGUAAAUGCGGGUCAUAUGCUCGCGUUGAUUACGUCCCUGCCCUUUGUACACACCGCCCGUCGCUACUACCGAUUGGAUGACUUAG